CUUGGUAUGUAUAGCUAUAAGGAAACACCUGUUCCCAUUCCGAAUACAGUAGUUAAGCUUAUAGCGCCGAAGGUACUUGGCUGGUGACGGCCUGGGAGAUGAAGUAGUGCCAAGA
rnacentral:rRNA from 1 species